UUUUUUUCAGUUUUUUUUUUAAAGGAAGGGUUCGUACGAGGCGAAAUUGGGGGAGUGGAUAUGUUCUGCGGUAUCUCUAUAGGAGUGCCGGAGGCGGGAGGAGGAAUGUGGCAAAAGGAAUGUGGGCGUUGCCUCCAAGGGAGAAGGCGCGGCCUGUUGCUUGUUUUCGUCGCCCGUCCUGCGGUUCCUCGUGCAGCUCGGAGGCAGCAGCCAAUCAGGAGCUCUGUGGCGCCGUCAGCCGAACGAAGUUCCACGCCCCUUUUGUUGGCGGAGCGAAGGGGAAGUUACUCCGGCGUUGCACCUGCCCUGCAGCGCUUGAAAACGCGAAGUCACUGUUGGCUCGGCCAAGGGUGUUGGCCUCGUUUCGGACUGCUGCGAGUGAUUAUAGGGCAGCUGCUUGGGGAAAAAAAAAAAAAAAAGCGCCGAAGGAUUGUUUUGGAAACUGGAAAACUGCCCAGUUCCUCUUUUCAAUUUUUGUGUGUGUAUGUGGAGGAAUGUUCUUUUUUUCCUGGAGACGAAACCAUAUGAAGAACGGCUGCAGAUUUUGGGUCUGGCCAAUCUAAAGAAAAGAAUUAGGGGGUGACAUGAUAGCAGUAUCCCAGGAUUUGCCAGGCUGCCACAAAGAAGGUCAAAUUAUUCUCCAAAGCACCGGAGAGCAAGACAAGAAACAAUGGUUGGAAACUAAUCAGAGAGAGAGAAGCAACCUGGAAUUGAGGAGAAACUUCCUAACAUUGAGGACAAUUAACCAGUGGAAAUCGUGGGCGCUCCAUCACUGAGGUUAAGAGGAGACUGGAUAGUCACUUGUCUGAAGUGGCAUAGGGUCUGUUGCUUGAGGAGGGGGCUGGACUAGACGACCUCCAAGGUCCCUUCCAGCUCUAUUCUAAUUCCUUUGUACUUACAGCUUCGUCUCCCUGACCGCUUAUUGCGGGCCAGGUUUUGACCAGAUUUAAAUAAAUACUUUUCAAUGUG